CCAACAGGGAUUGCCUCAGUAACGGCGAGUGAAGCGGCAACAGCUCAAAUUUGAAAUCUGGCCUAGCCCGAGUUGUAAUUUGCAGAGGAUGCUUCGGACGCGGCGCCUUCCAAGUCCCCUGGAACGGGGCGCCUUAGAGGGUGAGAGCCCCGUACGGUUGGAUGCCAAGUCUGUGUGAAGCUCCUUCGACGAGUCGAGUAGUUUGGGAAUGCUGCUCAAAAUGGGAGGUAGACCCCUUCUAAAGCUAAAUACCGGCCAGAGACCGAUAGCGCACAAGUAGAGUGAUCGAAAGAUGAAAAGCACUUUGAAAAGAGGGUUAAACAGCACGUGAAAUUGUUGAAAGGGAAGCGCUCGUGGUCAGACUUGCGCCGGGGUGAUCAUCUGGGGUUCUCCCCAGUGCACUCGCUCCGGCACAGGCCCGCGUCGGUUCUCGUGGGGGGAUAAAGGCGGCAGGAAUGUGACUCUUCGGAGUGUUAUAGCCUGUCGUGUCAUGCCCCCGUGGGGACCGAGGUCUACGCUCUGCAAGGACGCGGGCAUAAUGGCCACCGGCGACCCGUCUUGAAACACGGACCAAGGAGUCAAGGUUAUGCGCGAGUGUUUGGGUGUCAAACCCGCACGCGUAAUGAAAGUGAACGUAGGUGGGAGCUUCGGCGCACCACCGACCGAUCCUGAUGUUCUCGGAUGGAUUUGAGUAGGAGCGUACAGCCUUGGACCCGAAAGGUGAGCACUAAAUCUUCAUUAUAGAAAGGCAGUAUACUAACAAUUAUCCCAGAUGGUGAACUAUGCUUGGAUAGGGUGAAGCCAGAGGAAACUCUGGUGGAGGCUCGCAGCGGUUCUGACGUGCAAAUCGAUCGUCAAAUCUGAGCAUGGGGGCGAAAGACUAAUCGAACCAU
rnacentral:rRNA from 1 species